UUUUAUGAGAGUUUGAUCCUGGCUCAGGACGAACGCUGGCGGCGUGCCUAAUACAUGCAAGUCGAACGCUUCUUUUUCCACCGGAGCUUGCUCCACCGGAAAAAGAGGAGUGGCGAACGGGUGAGUAACACGUGGGUAACCUGCCCAUCAGAAGGGGAUAACACUUGGAAACAGGUGCUAAUACCGUAUAACAAUCGAAACCGCAUGGUUUUGAUUUGAAAGGCGCUUUCGGGUGUCGCUGAUGGAUGGACCCGCGGUGCAUUAGCUAGUUGGUGAGGUAACGGCUCACCAAGGCCACGAU
rnacentral:rRNA from 1 species